AAACAUUUUAAAAUUAGUAAAUUAUGUUCUAAAAAAAAUAUUUGAUGAGUAUUCAUUGAAGAAAUGAAUAUAUAGCAAGCGAUAAGGAAUGUUAUUUUGCACUCGAUGAUGUCUGCGUAUUUAUCAUGUUUAUAGAUCGGUUAAAAACCCAAAACUAAUUUACAUAAUGGAAAUUUAGGCAAUAGCAAUACACCGGAAUGACCUCAAGAUCAUCCGCUGUAAAAAUAACUGUAUUAGACAUAUUAUAAAUGUUUUUCUCACAGUAGCCAUGUGAAGGGUGAGAACAUAUUUUCCAAGUCAGAAAACUGAAAACUAAAAGUUGUGAAAACAUCUAGCUACCCGACUGAGAAUUAUUUUACCAGUUUAAUAUUUAAAGAUACAUGUACUAAGUAUAUUAACAAGAUUUUCUAUUAAAAUAGCAAUAGUAAAUCCUGAGGUUGGAAUAGAACUUCCAAGGGGAGACAAAUUCAAUAAACAACAAGAUUUGUUAAUUCAAUGGGAGAUAACUCUGUAAAAUAUGCAAAUUUUAAUGCAGUUGAAAUUCAAAUCAUUAUUCUUUGACUUCCUUUUUUUUUCCAUCUUUAUAUUAAUUUUACAAACUUAGGUGUUGAUGUUAUACUAUUGUGAACAUGUAGUAAGAAAUCAAAACAAUAUUUAGUAAAGGUUUAUGUUGACAGAAAUGGAUUUAUAAAAUAUAUAAUAAUGUAUCCAUUUUAAUUCCUUUUUAGGUUCUUUCUGUGACAUGUUUUUCAUGGUGUUGGGAAUAAGACUUUGGGGUCUAAUACUUCUAAAAGGAAGGUUAACAUCACAGUUUGUCCGUAAGGAUUGAGGUUGGGAAUGGCAAUUGGAGCUGACUUUUAUGGUAACUUUAACUGUGGCUGCAUGAAAAUGAUUGGGUGACUGUACCAGUAAAGAAUGUAAUUCAGACAAUUUUUGUGUAUGUUUGAGAAAAUGUUUAUAAUUUUUUACCAAAAAUAAAAAUAGUGUAAAGAUUCUUCAUUUUCAACAAGAUUGUAAGUUAUAGAUAACUUAUUUUGAAUUUUAAAAUUUCUCUUUUUACCAUUAAAACCAAAGGAUAUAUUCAGGUAGCUCUACUCAUGUCCAUUCUUGACAAUUUUUUUGUCAUGCAUAUUGAUACUGAACUGGUUUUUGUAUCACCUUGACAGAUUCGAAAAGUGAGACAUAGGUAUGCUGUUUCUGGCGUCAGCUGCGGCGUCAACAAUGUAUUAGUUUGUGAUUAGGUCUAGUUUAUGGUGAACCACUAGUGGUAGGUCAAUGAUAUUUGGUAUGCAGUUGAAUUAGCAUUGGCACAUCUCAUUACCAUGGAGAUUAUUUGGCCCUGCCCCCUCAGUCAUGGUUUAUUGACUUUGAAACUUUGCUUAGUUUUCAUGCAUUAGUUUGUGAUAAGGUCAGUUCAUGGGGAAACACUAGUGGUAGGUCAAUGAUAUUUAGUAUGCAGUUGUAUAAGCAUUGGCAUAUCUCAUUUCCAUGAAGAUUAUUUGGCCCUGCCCCUUUAGUCAUGGUCUAUUGACUUUGAAACUUUUGCUUAGUUCACAAGCUGGUGUUUAUGUUUAGGUUUCUUUAAAGGGAAUGACAUGAAAAGUCAAUGGUAUUUGGUAUGCAGUUGUAUUAGCAUUGGCUUAUCUCAUUUCCAUGGAGAUUGUUUAGCCCUGUACCUUUAGUCAUGGUUCAUUGACUUUGAAUAUUUGCAUAACUUACAUUUAAAAGUAUUGUUAUUUCAAUUUCAACAUUUGCAUUAUCAAAAUAACAAAUAGGCGAGACAUAUCUCUGUGUUAACAGUUUAUUGGUAUGUAUAGUUUUGUUUUGAGUUCAUAGUUCAGAUUGUAUUCAUUAUUUUUUUCCCCUGUGGCUAGAUUUAAUUGGUACUUUGAAAAUUAAUUGAAAUUGACCACUUUUAUUUGAAGACCUACUCUUUUAGAUUUAUUAAUAAUGGUCCAUGUCUAGUCACUUCCAGAAGUUAAGAAUGGAGAAUCUUAAAAUAAAAGAAAAAAUGAAAUGUAUAUUUUGGCUUUCAACAUUGUUAAAUAUAUAUCUUUUCCGAAUGUUUUCAUUUUUUUUAUGCCCCUGCCAUAGGGAAAGGAGGCAUUAAGUGUUACUCUUGACGUCCUUCUGUCCUUUUGUUGUUCCUUUUGUCCCAUUUUUGUUUCCGCACUAACUUUUAAGAGUAAUGCCCCUUUAUCAGCUGGAAAGUUGCAAAUUUGUGCAGUGAGUCACUUACUUUUCUAGAGUUAUGCUCCUUUUUAAAAUUUUUAAAAUUGCAAAGCUUGAGCAAGGGCAUUGUGUCCUCAGACACAUUCUUCUUUUAUUUUUUAGCUGAGUUUGAUAUAAUUUAUUAUAUUUUUAUCAAUUGUUUUGUUCGGAAUAAUUAUACAUUUUUUUAUACUGUCUAAAGUAUACUUCCUGAGACAGUCUUCAGAGCAUUAGGUUUUGGACUCAGGUUUCCAACAUUUUCCCACUACAAAUUCAGUUUUUAAAGAAGUUUGACCAAGUUCACUCGUUUUAGUCGGUUGUCAUGGUUGUUCCUGGCAGGAAGAUUGUUGAUGAUAGAGAUUUUGUCAUUAUUUGGUAAUUAACUUAAAAUACAGCAUAGAAGCAUUUCAUCAAUUAUGAUUUUUAUGAUUAUCUUUUAUGUAUAUAUGCUUACAAUUUGUAUACAUGGAUAUUGUUUUAAAAAUCAUUAAAAUCUGGUGUCCAGACGAGCUGUCUGGGUUAUCAGCAACAUGAA